CAAAUGAAUUGACGGGGCCCGCACAAGCGGUGGAGCAUGUGGUUAAUUCGAAGCAACGCGAAGAACCUUACCAGGUCUUGACAUCCCGAUGCUAUUUCUAGAGAUAGAAAGUUACUUCGGUACAUCGGUGACAGGUGGUGCAUGGUUGUCGUCAGCUCGUGUCGUGAGAUGUUGGGUUAAGUCCCGCAACGAGCGCAACCCCUAUUGUUAGUUGCCAUCAUUCAGUUGGGCACUCUAGCGAGACUGCCGGUAAUAAACCGGAGGAAGGUGGGGAUGACGUCAAGUCCUCAUGGCCUUUAUGACCAGGGCUACACACGUACUACAAUGGCCGGUACAAAGGGCAGCCACUUAGCGAUAAGGAGCCAAUCCCGUAAAGCCGGUCUCAGUCCGGAUUGGAGUCUGCAACUCGACUCCAUGAAGUUGGAAUCGCUAGUAAUCGCAGAUCAGCACGCUGCGGUGAAUACGUUCCCGGGCCUU
rnacentral:rRNA from 1 species